GACGAACGCUGGCGGCGUGCUUAACACAUGCAAGUCGAACGGAAAGGCCCUGAUUUUGUGGGGUGCUCGAGUGGCGAACGGGUGAGUAACACGUGAGUAACCUGCUCUUGACUUUGGGAUAACUUCAGGAAACUGGGGUUAAUACCGGAUCGGAGAUGCUGCUGCAUGGUGGGGGUUGGAAAGUUUCGGCGGUUGGGGCUGGACUCGCGGCUUAUCAGCUUGUUGGUGGGGUAGUGGCUGACCAAGGCUGUGACGGGUAGCCGGCCUGAGAGGGUGACCGGCCACAAUAGUACUGAGAGACGGACCAGUCUCGUACGGGAGGCAACGGGGGGGAAUAUGGCCCAAUGGGCGGGAGCCUGAUGCAGCAGCGCCGCGGGCGGGAUGACGGCCUGCGGGUUGUAAACCGCAUUCGCCUGUGACGAAGCGUGAGUGACGGUAAUGGGUAAAGAAGCACCGGCUAACUUCGUG
rnacentral:rRNA from 1 species